rnacentral:rRNA from 1 species
CCUACGGGCGGCUGCAGUGGGGAAUAUUGGACAAUGGGGGCAACCCUGAUCCAGCCAUGCCGCGUGUGUGAAGAAGGCCCUCGGGUUGUAAAGCACUUUCAGUGAGGAAGAACGCCUGGUGGUUAAUACCCAUCAGGAAAGACAUCACUCACAGAAGAAGCACCGGCUAACUCCGUGCCAGCAGCCGCGGUAAUACGGAGGGUGCGAGCGUUAAUCGGAAUUACUGGGCGUAAAGCGCGCGUAGGUGGCUUGAUAAGCCGGUUGUGAAAGCCCCGGGCUCAACCUGGGAACGGCAUCCGGAACUGUCAAGCUAGAGUGCAGGAGAGGAAGGUAGAAUUCCCGGUGUAGCGGUGAAGUGCGUAGAGAUCGGGAGGAAUACCAGUGGCGAAGGCGGCCUUCUGGACUGACACUGACACUGAGGUGCGAAAGCGUGGGUAGCAAACAGGAUUAGAUACCCUUGUAGUC